GGUAGAGUGUCCGAGUGGUUAUGGAGCAUCGUUCAGGUACAUCUGAGUCUCCGAUGUGUUUACGCGCGCGGGUUCGAAUCCCGUCUCUGCCAUCA